CUCACAUACAAACACUACAUUGGAAUUAUUUCACAGAGGAAGUUAAUUUAAGAAAUAAGGAAAUCCACAAAUACUGUUUUUCAAAGUUCACUUAAUUUAUGUUAUUGUAACGGAUUUCCUCCUCUUCGUCUGAGGCGGAGUAAGGAUCGGACCAAAACGCAGCGUGGAGUCAGAAGAAGAGUGAGGGUGAGAGGAGGAGUACACGGAGGAGGAGGAAGAGGAAGAGGCCGAGCCAGAGCUCGAGGAAGACAUGAUGCAGGAGGAGAACCUGCACAAAGAAGAGGACCAAACUUAUCAAAUUACAUUCGUGCAACACUAGUGGACCAUGUUGUGAACCACAGAUUGACGUUGAGGGAGGCUGGACUGAGAGUUCAGCCAAAUCUUAGCAGAUAUACAGUGGCCUCUGUCACAAGGACUUUUCGACAGGAAAACAGGUUCAAAUGAAACAACUUCAUCGAGUGCCUUUUGAGCGGAAUUCAGAGCGGGUCAAACGGCUGCGGCAUGAGUAUGUGGAGGGAGUUUUGCAGAUGGAUGCUGAGGAAAUCCUGCAUGAAUUCAUAUAUAUUGAAGAGGCAGGGUUCAACCUCACAAAAGCAAGAAGGAGAGGCAGAAAUAUCAUUGGCCACAGGGCUAUAAUCAAUGUCCCAGGGCAACGUGGGGGUAACAGCACCCUUUGCGCUGCCAUUUCACAGCAUGGGGUUGUCCUCCGUCAUGCCAAAAUGGGCCCUUACAACACACCUCACAUUCUCACAUUUUUGGACCGAUUGCACCACAUCGUCACAGCAGGUAAUGAAAUGCACCAGAUGCAAUACACAGACAUCUGGAACAAUGUGUCAUUCCACUGCUCUGCUUUGGUCCAGAACUGGUUUCAACACCAUCCACAGUUGACAGUACUAUACCUUCCACCAUACUCUCCGUUUCUAAACCCUAUCAAAGAGUUGUUCUCUGCAUGGCGGUGGAAGGUUUACGAUCUCCAGCCCCAGGCUCAGGUAUCCCACAUUCAGGCCAUGGAGGACGACGCCGAGGCUGUGCAAGGAUGGAUUCAACAUUUAAGACGGUUCUUCCCGCGUUGUCUUGCUAAUGACGAUAUUGCUUGUGAUGAUGAAAUUCUCUGGCCAGAUCCAGUAUUUUCUGUACAAUAUUGUCCUUUUUUCCCAGAAUUGCUUUAUGUUGUUAUUUACUGUAAUUGUAACCUGUACUGGAUACAGUAUUUUACGUUUGUCUGUUUGCUGAGCUAAGUGUUAUGCACACUACUGUAGUAGCAUGAAAACUGGGACAUGUUUUGUUGUGAUUCUCCAUGUUGACAU